rnacentral:tRNA from 1 species
CGAAAUGUAGCUUAACUGGUAAAGCACCAACGCAAGAGUUGGAGAUUCAGGUCCGAGUCCUGACUUUUCGA